UUCCUUUGUUCCCAUAUAUUGGGUGGCGAGCUAGAGACAGGCUUCGUGCCUCAGCCUGGAAGGAAGCGACUGCAACUCCCAUCAGUGUGUUUUGUGGGACUAUAUGAAGUGGAAAUUGCAGACCACAGUUUAACACAGUUUGAACUGGCUUGUUUGUACUUUUUGUGUGCAACUGUAAAUAUUGUAAAUAUUUUCCUUUUUCAUAUAUUACACCAAUUUUUGCACCUGAA